rnacentral:lncRNA from 1 species
CAUUAUUUUUAUCUCUUUCCAGUGGUCAGGACCAAAACUCUUGGUAACACCCAGUGUGGGGAGACAGCUGGUUGUGCCUCGCUGAUGGCCUUGGAAACCCUUCAGCUCCAAAGGGGAGACCUAGCAAUUGCUACUGACUUUACACAUGCUGUUGUCUUGAUGAUACAACUUCUAAGCACUCUUCCCCCAACACGAGAAAGGAUACAUGUGAGAUCCAUUAUUAUACUGGUUUUAAAAGAGAAAGGCAGAAAGCAAUAGAAAUGGGCAUAUGAAGAGAGAUGCUAAAAUAAAUCAGAUGAUUUUUAGCUUCAGUCAAGUUGACAGAAAACUAUCCAGCACACCUAGAAUCCACUAAGCUCGGGAUUGGACGCCAUGUUUUGAUGGAGCUUGUUUUAAUAUGGAAGAGGGAGACUAUAGAGCCCGUGUGUCUAAUGGGGAUCCAGAUUCCCUCCGUUUAUGAGAGUGGUUUCUCAAAACUGGAGCUUCUGGGGCCUGGACAGAUAGUUCAGUUGGUUAAGAGCAUCCGCAUCCGCAGAGGACCUGGGUUCAGUUCUCAGAUUCCACGUGGAGGAAUCACCUGACCUAUGUAAGUUCAGUUCCAGGGAAUCUGACUCCCUCUGGCCUCCUCAGGCACCAGGCAUGC